rnacentral:rRNA from 1 species
AACGAACGCUGGCGGCAUGCCUAACACAUGCAAGUCGAACGAGACCUUCGGGUCUAGUGGCGCACGGGUGCGUAACGCGUGGGAACCUGCCCUUAGGUUCGGAAUAACUCCCCGAAAGGGGUGCUAAUACCGGAUAAUGUCUUCGGACCAAAGAUUUAUCGCCUUUGGAUGGGCCCGCGUUGGAUUAGCUAGUUGGUAGGGUAAAAGCCUACCAAGGCGACGAUCCAUAGCUGGUCUGAGAGGAUGAUCAGCCACACUGGGACUGAGACACGGCCCAGACACCUACGGGAGGCAGCAGUGGGGAAUAUUGGACAAUGGGCGAAAGUCUAGUCCAGCAAUGCCGCGUGAGGGAUGAAGGUCGUAGGGUUGUAAAGCUCGUUUAACCGGGAGGUUAACGGCAGGACCGGGAGGAUAAACCACGGCUAAAUCCGUG